rnacentral:rRNA from 1 species
UACGUAGGUGACGAGCGUUGUCCGGAUUUACUGGGCGUAAAGAGCGCGCAGGCGGUCGUUCAAGUCGAGUGUGAAAGCCCCCGGCUCAACUGGGGAGGGUCACUCGAUACUGAUCGACUUGAAGGCAGGAGAGGGAAGUGGAAUUCCCGGUGUAGUGGUGAAAUGCGUAGAUAUCGGGAGGAACACCAGUGGCGAAGGCGACUUCCUGGCCUGUUCUUGACGCUGAGGCGCGAAAGCUAGGGUAGCAAACGGG